UCGGGGCGGCGGUGGCGAGCCGGGUGCGAGGGGUGGAGAAGGCGACGGGGGCUCGGGGGCCUUUGGCGGCGGAGGCGAAGGUAGUUGGGGAAGGUGAGGCGGCGGAGGCGAAGGUAGUUGGGGAAGGUGAGGCGGCGGAGGCGAAGGUAGUUGGGGAAGGUGAGGCGGCGGAGGCGAAGGUAGUUGGGGAAGGUGAGGCGGCGGAGGCGAAGGUAGUUGGGGAAGGUGAGGCGGCGGAGGCGAUGGUAGUUGGGGAAGGUGAGGCGGCGGAGACGAAGGUAGUUGGGGAAGGUGAGGCGGCGGAGGCGAUGGUAUUGCGGGCAUGAGUGGCUCUGGAGACUGUGGCGCUCUGCGCGCGAAGGGCCGGUGAGGCGGCGGCGGUC
rnacentral:lncRNA from 1 species